UACGGGGGGGGCAAGCGUUGUUCGGAAUUACUGGGCGUAAAGGGGACGUAGGCGGCCAACUAAGUCCGACGUGAAAUCCCAAGGCUUAACCUUGGAACUGCGUCGGAUACUGGAUGGCUUGAAUUCGGGAGAGGGAUGCAGAAUUCCAGGUGUAGCGGUGAAAUGCGUAGAUAUCUGGAGGAACACCGGUGGCGAAGGCGGUUCUCUGGGCAUUACCUGACGCUCAGGCACGAAAGCUAGGGGAGCGAACAGG
rnacentral:rRNA from 1 species